rnacentral:rRNA from 1 species
AAAUUGAAGAGUAUGAUCAUGGCUGAGAUUGAACGCUGGCGGCAGGCCUAACACAUGCAAGUCGAACGGUAACAGGAAGCAGCUUGCUGCUUCGCUGACGAGUGGCGGACGGGUGAGUAAUGUCUGGGAAACUGCCUGAUGGAGGGGGAUAACUACUGGAAACGGUGGCUAAUACCGCAUAACGUCGCAAGACCAAAGAGGGGGACCUUCGGGCCUCUUG